rnacentral:rRNA from 1 species
GGACCCGCACAAGCGGUGGAUGAUGUGGUUUAAUUCGACGCAACGCGAAAAACCUUACCUACCCUUGACAUGCCUGGAAUCCUGCAGAGAUGCGGGGGUGCUCGCAAGAGAACCAGGACACAGGUGCUGCAUGGCCGUCGUCAGCUCGUGUCGUGAGAUGUUGGGUUAAGUCCCGCAACGAGCGCAACCCUUGCCAUUAGUUGCUACGAAAGGGCACUCUAAUGGGACUGCCGGUGACAAACCGGAGGAAGGUGGGGAUGACGUCAGGUCAUCAUGGCCCUUAUGGGUAGGGCUACACACGUCAUACAAUGGCCGGUACAGAGGGCUGCCAACCCGCGAGGGGGAGCCAAUCCCAGAAAACCGGUCGUAGUCCGGAUCGCAGUCUGCAACUCGACUGCGUGAAGUCGGAAUCGCUAGUAAUCGCGGAUCAGCAUGUCGCGGUGAAUACGUUCCCGGGUCUU